AGCGAACGCUGGCGGCAGGCUUAACACAUGCAAGUCGAGCGGGCACUUUCGGGUGUCAUCGGCGGACGGGUGAGUAACGCGUGGGAACGUGCCCUCUGGUUCGGAAUAACUCAGGGAAACUUGAGCUAAUACCGGAUACGCCCUUUUGGGGUAAGGCUUGCUGCCGGAGGAUCGGCCCGCGUCUGAUUCGCUAGUUGGUGGGGUAACGGCUCACCAAGGCGACGAUCAGUAGCUGGUCUGAGAGGAUGAUCAGCCACACUGGGACUGAGACACGGCCCAGACUCUUACGGGAGGCAGCAGUGGGGAAUAUUGGACAACGGGCGCAAGCAUGAUCCAGCCAGGCCGCGAGAGUGAUGAAGGCCUUAGGGUUGUAAAGCUCGUUUAUACGGGACGAUAAUGACGAUACCGGAAGAAUAAGCCCCGGCUAACUUCGUG
rnacentral:rRNA from 1 species